UCUGGCAGUGAUGACACACUUGCCCUCACUGAGAACACAGUUCAAUAAUGAGAACAUUUCUUAAGUACUCAUUUAUUCUGAGCCAGA
ensembl:snoRNA